rnacentral:lncRNA from 1 species
AAAUUAAAGAAAACAAAAGAAAAGAGAAUAAAAGACAGCGGUGAAUAGUUCUCUAACGUGAAAAUGCAAAAUGGAAGAGUGGAGAGUGAGAGAUGGUUGGUUGAUGGAGAAAAAUUAGGAAAAUCCCUCAUCAUUUUUUUUAAAUACCCCACUAACUCUUAUUAACUAUCCACAUCAGAUUUUUCCCAGAGUUUAAAAUGAAAAAUAAUAAUUUUCACUUUACAUAUGCAGGGAUUCGAACACAAGACU